rnacentral:rRNA from 1 species
GUGCCAGCCGCCGCGGUAAUACGAAGGGUGCGAGCGUUAAUCGGAUUUACUGGGCGUAAAGCGUGCGUAGGCGGCUUUUUAAGUCGGAUGUGAAAUCCCUGAGCUUAACUUAGGAAUUGCAUUCGAUACUGGGAAGCUAGAGUAUGGGAGAGGAUGGUAGAAUUCCAGGUGUAGCGGUGAAAUGCGUAGAGAUCUGGAGGAAUACCGAUGGCGAAGGCAGCCAUCUGGCCUAAUACUGACGCUGAGGUACGAAAGCAUGGGGAGCAAACAGGAUUAGAUACCCCUCGUAGUCC